AUUGAACGCUGGCGGCAUGCCUUACACAUGCAAGUCGAACGGCAGCACGGGAGCAAUCCUGGUGGCGAGUGGCGAACGGGUGAGUAAUAUAUCGGAACGUGCCCAGUCGUGGGGGAUAACGUAGCGAAAGCUACGCUAAUACCGCAUACGAUCUAUGGAUGAAAGCGGGGGAUCGCAAGACCUCGCGCGAUUGGAGCGGCCGAUAUCAGAUUAGGUAGUUGGUGAGGUAAAGGCUCACCAAGCCGACGAUCUGUAGCUGGUCUGAGAGGACGACCAGCCACACUGGGACUGAGACACGGCCCAGACUCCUACGGGAGGCAGCAGUGGGGAAUUUUGGGACAAUGGGCGCAAGCCUGAUCCAGCAAUGCCGCGUGCAGGAUAAAGG
rnacentral:rRNA from 1 species